GGCUCAGGACGAACGCUGGCGGCGUGCUUAACACAUGCAAGUCGAACGGUGAUGUCAGAGCUUGCUCUGGCGGAUCAGUGGCGAACGGGUGAGUAACACGUGAGUAACCUGCCCCCGACUCUGGGAUAACUGCUAGAAAUGGUAGCUAAUACCGGAUAUGACGAUUGGCCGCAUGGUCUGGUCGUGGAAAGAAUUUCGGUUGGGGAUGGACUCGCGGCCUAUCAGGUUGUUGGUGAGGUAAUGGCUCACCAAGCCUACGACGGGUAGCCGGCCUGAGAGGGUGACCGGCCACACUGGGACUGAGACACGGCCCAGACUCCUACGGGAGGCAGCAGUGGGGAAUAUUGCACAAUGGGCGAAAGCCUGAUGCAGCAACGCCGCGUGAGGGAUGGCGGCCUUCGGGUUGUAAACCUCUUUUAGUAGGGAAGAAGCGAAAGU
rnacentral:rRNA from 1 species